rnacentral:rRNA from 1 species
CCUACGGGGGGCAGCAGUGGGGAAUAUUGCGCAAUGGGCGAAAGCCUGACGCAGCGACGCCGCGUGAGGGAUGAAGGUCUUCGGAUCGUAAACCUCUGUCAGCAGGGAAGAACGGUCACUGUGCUAAUCAGCAGUGAAUUGACGGUACCUGCAAAGGAAGCACCGUCUAACUCCGUGCCAGCAGCCGCGGUAAUACGGAGGGUGCGAGCGUUAAUCGGAUUUACUGGGCGUAAAGCGCUCGUAGGCGGUAUGUCAAGUCAAGGGUGAAAUCCCCGCGCUCAACGUGGGAACUGCCUUGGAAACUGGCAAACUGGAGUGUGUGAGAGGAUAGUGGAAUUCCAGGGGUAGGAGUGAAAGCCGUAGAUAGCUGGAGGAACAUCAGUGGCGAAGGCGACUAUCUGGCACAUAACUGACGCUGAGGAGCGAAAGCGUGGGUAGCAAACAGGAUUAGAUACCCUUGUAGUC